CCUACGGGAGGCAGCAGUAAGGAAUAUUGGUCAAUGGGCGGAAGCCUGAACCAGCCAUGCCGCGUGCAGGAAGACGGCCCUACGGGUUGUAAACUGCUUUUGUACGGGAAUAAACCUUGAUUCGUGAAUCAAGCUGAAUGUACUGUAAGAAUAAGGAUCGGCUAACUCCGUGCCAGCAGCCGCGGUAAUACGGAGGAUCCAAGCGUUAUCCGGAUUUAUUGGGUUUAAAGGGUGCGUAGGUGGCUUAUUAAGUCAGGGGUGAAAGACGGUAGCUUAACUAUCGCAGUGCCUUUGAUACUGAUGAGCUUGAAUGAACUAGAGGUAGGCGGAAUGUGACAAGUAGCGGUGAAAUGCAUAGAUAUGUCACAGAACACCAAUUGCGAAGGCAGCUUACUAUGGUUAGACUGACACUGAGGCACGAAAGCGUGGGGAUCAAACAGGAUUAGAUACCCUGGUAGUCCACGCCCUAAACGAUGAAUACUCGAUGUUGGCGAUAUACGGUCAGCGUCUAAGCGAAAGCGUUAAGUAUUCCACCUGGGGAGUACGCCGCAAGGGGUUGAAACGUUAAAGGAAUUGAGGCUUGAGACGNGCGAGACGACGACGAGGAGGAGG
rnacentral:rRNA from 1 species